GACGAACCGUGCAAACGUUGUUCGGAAUCACUGGGCUUAAAGGGCGCGUAGGCGGCAGACCAAGUCCGGGGUGAAAUCUUUCGGCUUAACCGGAAAAGGGCCUUGGAUACUGGUUUGCUAGAGGGAGGUAGGGGUCUGUGGAACUUCUGGUGGAGCGGUGAAAUGCGUUGAUAUCAGAAGGAACGCCGGUGGCGAAAGCGAUGGACUGGAUCUCUUCUGACGCUGAUGCGCGAAAGCCAGGGGAGCAAACGGG
rnacentral:rRNA from 1 species